CUUCUGUGAUGAUACGAUGACGAGUCUGAAUGGGUACCUCCUUGUCCAGUGGUCCCUGCCUGCCUCACGUUCUGUGCUGUAGACGUCGGGUCACUGAGUCAAUGUUGCCCUUCACUUGAUGUCCUUGAGGCAUUUGUCUGAGAAGG